AUUGAACGCUGGCGGCAGGCUUAACACAUGCAAGUCGAGCGAGCGGCGGACGGGUGAGCAAUGUCUGGGAAACUGCCUGAUGGAGGGGGAUAACUAUUGGAAACGGUAGCUAAUACCGCAUACCAUCAGAUGUGCCCAGGUGGGUUUAGCUAGUAGGUGGGGUAAUGGCUCACCUAGUCGACGAUCCCUAGCUGGUCUGAGAGGAGGACCAGCCACACUGGCACUAGGACACGGUCCAGACUCCUACGGGAGGCAGCAGUGGGGAAUAUUGCACAAUGGGCGCAGGCCUGAUGCAGCCAUGCCGCGUGUGUGAAGAGGGCCUUCGGGUUGUAAAGCACUUUCAGCGAGGAGGCGUUGCUCGCAGAAGAAACACCGGCUAACUCCGUGCCAGCAGCCGCGGUAAUAG
rnacentral:rRNA from 1 species